rnacentral:lncRNA from 1 species
UUUCUUUAUCAAUCUUGAAAUUCUCAAAGUACAAACUAACACCAGGGUCUCUCAUCUUGACCUCACUACCAUGCAACACAGAAUUUGAUACACCCUGAACGUUGUUGUUCACAUAGAUGUUAAUGCAACAACAAUGUUCUUCUUCUGCCUCACCUUUCUUGCUCCUAUGCUGCAAGCGCAUCGUGGCGCCGACAUUUUUUCCGUCCAAGUUGAUGUAUUCGAACGAUGUGCCAUGCUUGAAAUUUGAGUCCAUGUG